GAUGAAGAACGUAGCGAAAUGCGAUACGUAAUGUGAAUUGCAGAAUUCAGUGAAUCAUCGAAUCUUUGAACGCAUAUUGCGCCUUUUGGCUAUUCCGGAAGGCAUGCUUGUUUGAGUAUCAGAAAUCACCUCAGCUUUCUUCUUUAGAUUGUUGGAAAUGAGCAUAUUCCCUUCCAUCUUUCAGAUGUGGGGAUGCUUGAAAUGCAGAGUUCGAAACCAAAUAACGGUUAUGCUACAAGCAAUUUCAUACUUGAUCCCGUCAAACGGAUUAUAUCCUUUUGCUUUGUUUGCUGACAGUUGGCUUCGAUUGAUGCAGACGUGUCCUUUGUCAGCAAAGAACACCUUGCAACUCGAUCUCAAAUCAAGUAAGACUACCCGCUGAUCUUAAGCAUAUCAAUAAGCGGAGGA
rnacentral:misc_RNA from 1 species